rnacentral:rRNA from 1 species
UACGGAGGGUGCAAGCGUUAAUCGGAAUUACUGGGCGUAAAGCGCACGCAGGUGGCUGAGUCAGUCGAUGGUGAAAGCCCUGGGCUUAACCUGGGAAUUGCAGUCGAUACUACUCAGCUAGAGUAUGGGAGAGGGCAGUGGAAUUCCCGGUGUAGCGGUGAAAUGCGUAGAUAUCGGGAGGAACAUCAGUGGCGAAGGCGGCUGCCUGGCCCAAUACUGACACUCAGGUGCGACAGCGUGGGGAGCAAACAGG